UGACUUAAGCAUAUCAAUAAGCGGAGGAAAAGAAACCAACAGGGAUUGCCUCAGUAACGGCGAGUGAAGCGGCAACAGCUCAAAUUUGAAAUCUGACCCCUUCGGGGCCCGAGUUGUAAUUUGUAGAGGAUGCUUCGGGUGCGGCGCCGGUCUAAGUUCCUUGGAACAGGACGUCAUAGAGGGUGAGAAUCCCGUAUGCGACCGGCGGUCAACCCCAUGUGAAGCCCCUUCGACGAGUCGAGUUGUUUGGGAAUGCAGCUCAAAAUGGGUGGUAAAUUUCAUCUAAAGCUAAAUACCGGCCAGAGACCGAUAGCGCACAAGUAGAGUGAUCGAAAGAUGAAAAGCACUUUGGAAAGAGAGUCAAACAGUACGUGAAAUUGUUGAAAGGGAAGCGCUUGCAACCAGACCUGCCCCCGGGCGAUCAGCCGUUAUUUUUAGCGGUGCACUCGUCCGCGAUCAGGCCAGCAUCGGUUCGGGCGGCCGGAUAAAGGCCUCGGGAAUGUAGCUCCCCCCGGGGAGUCUUAUAGCCCGAGGUGCAAUGCGGCCAGCCCGGACCGAGGACCGCGCUUCGGCUAGGAUGCUGGCGUAAUGGUUGUAAGCGACCCGUCUUGAAACACGGACC
rnacentral:rRNA from 1 species